rnacentral:rRNA from 1 species
UUGAACGCUGGCGGCAUGCCUUACACAUGCAAGUCGAACGGCAGCACGGGUGCUUGCACCUGGUGGCGAGUGGCGAACGGGUGAGUAAUACAUCGGAACAUGUCCUGUAGUGGGGGAUAGCCCGGCGAAAGCCGGAUUAAUACCGCAUACGAUCUACGGAUGAAAGCGGGGGACCUUCGGGCCUCGCGCUAUAGGGUUGGCCGAUGGCUGAUUAGCUAGUUGGUGGGGUAAAGGCCUACCAAGGCGACGAUCAGUAGCUGGUCUGAGAGGACGACCAGCCACACUGGGACUUAGACACGGCCCAGACUCCUACGGGAGGCAGCAGUGGGGAAUUUUGGACAAUGGGCGAAAGCCUGAUCCAGCAAUGCCGCGUGUGUGAAGAAGGCCUUCGGGUUGUAAAGCACUUUUGUCCGGAAAGAAAUCCUUGGCCCUAAUACGGUCGGGGGAUGACGGUACCGGAAGAAUAAGCACCGGCUAACUACGUG